rnacentral:rRNA from 1 species
UACGGGGGGGAGCAAGCGUUGUUCGGAUUUACUGGGCGUAAAGGGCGCGUAGGCGGUCAGCACAAGUCAGUUGUGAAAUCUCCGGGCUUAACUCGGAAAGGUCAACUGAUACUGUGCGACUAGAGUGCGGAAGGGGGCAACUGGAAUUCUUGGUGUAGCGGUGAAAUGCGUAGAUAUCAAGAGGAACACCUGCGGCGAAGGCGGGUUCCUGGACCGACACUGACGCUGAGGCGCGAAAGCUAGGGGAGCAAACGGG